rnacentral:misc_RNA from 1 species
AAGUCGUAACAAGGUAACCGUAGGUGAACCUGCGGUUGGAUCAUUAAUAAAAUUGAAGGCUUGGCCUUUGCAAUUGACUCUCGGGUCAGUUACACACCUUUGUGCAAUGUUUGAGUGUUCCUAGUGGGCACUCAUUACACUUUAUCUAGUCUGAAGAAAUUCUUAAAUUAAAAUACAACUUUUAACAACGGAUCUCUUGGCUCUC